rnacentral:rRNA from 1 species
UCUACGGGUGGCAGCAGUGGGGAAUUUUGGACAAUGGGGGCAACCCUGAUCCAGCCAUUCCGCGUGAGUGAAGAAGGCCUUCGGGUUGUAAAGCUCUUUCGGCCGGGAAGAAAUCGCAUCUCCUAAUACGGGGUGUGGAUGACGGUACCGGAAGAAGAAGCACCGGCUAACUACGUGCCAGCAGCCGCGGUAAUACGUAGGGUGCGAGCGUUAAUCGGAAUUACUGGGCGUAAAGCGUGCGGAGGCGGGUGAGAUCCCCGGGCGUAACCUGGUAACUGCGUUUGUGACUGGUGGGCUUGAGUGCGGCAGAGGGGGGUGGAAUUCCACGUGUAGCAGUGAAAUGCGUAGAGAUGUGGAGGAACACCGAUGGCGAAGGCAGCCCCCUGGGUCGACACUGACGCUCAUGCACGAAAGCGUGGGGAGCAAACAGGAUUAGAUACCCCUGUAGUC